GCAAAACCAGUAUUAAAGGUACAACCUGCCCAGUGACAACUUUAAACGGCCGCGGUAUCCUAACCGUGCAAAGGUAGCGUAAUCACUUGUCCUUUAAAUAAGGACUAGUAUGAACGGUUAAAUGAGGACAAACCUGUCUCUUGUAGGGGAUCAGUGAAACUGAACUUCCAGUUAAAAUGCUGGAAUAUUUACAUAAGACGAGAAGACCCUGUGGAGCUUUAAACUACACUCAAACCAUAAAUUGAAUAGACGUUUUUAGUUGGGGCGACUUCGGAACAAAAAGAAACUUCCGAGAAAACAGAGCACCUCCUCAAAAUUUAGGCCCACAAGCCAACAGCAUGCACAUUGACCCGGACCUAUCCGAUAAACGAACCAAGUUACCCCAGGGAUAACAGCGCUAUCUUCUUUUAGAGUCCAUAUCAACAAGAAGGCUUACGACCUCGAUGUUGGAUCAGGACACCCAAAUGGUGCAGCCGCUAUUAAUGGUUCGUUUGUUCAACGAUUAACAGUCCUACGUGAUCUGAGUUCAGACCGGAGU
rnacentral:rRNA from 1 species